rnacentral:rRNA from 1 species
UACAGAGGUGGCAAGCGUUGUUCGGAAUUACUGGGCGUAAAGGGCGCGUAGGCGGCCUUCUAAGUCAGACGUGAAAUCCCCCGGCUUAACCUGGGAACUGCGUCUGAUACUGGAUGGCUUGAAUCCGGGAGAGGGAUGCGGAAUUCCAGGUGUAGCGGUGAAAUGCGUAGAUAUCUGGAGGAACACCGGUGGCGAAGGCGGCAUCCUGGACCGGCAUUGACGCUGAGGAGCGAAAGCCAGGGGAGCAAACGGG